UCCAAAGUGUAGGAUUAAAGGCAUGUUGC
rnacentral:piRNA from 1 species